GCCUGGAUGGCUUAGUCAGUUAAGCGUCUGACUUCAGCUCAGGUCAUGAUCUUGUGGUUCGUGAGUUUGAGCCCCUCAUCGGGCU
rnacentral:tRNA from 1 species